CGGAGACGAAUCGCGGAGUGCGAGGCGUGUUUCGGGAACACGUAGGCGGGGUGCGACGCCCCGGUCUCCGACCA
rnacentral:tRNA from 1 species